GAUGCAUAAAUAAGUGAAUUAGAAAGAGAAGUUUAAAGUUUAAAAAAUUGUUUCAUCUUUUGGAAAUCUUCAGGAGAUAGGAAUAACUAUUGAUCUAACUAUCUAAUGAAGAAAUCUUUAAUCAUACAGUUGUGUUCUGUAAAUAUAACCACAAUUAGUUAACUCUGUGUUUGUGUGUUCACGGUAGUGUGACAGAGGUUUUUAUUCGAUGGCUUCAUAGGAAUGUAUCACUGGGCACGACUUUCAGUGAAGGAACCAAACUCAUUGUGAAAACUGGUCCGAUGGUGAAGCCCUCCGUGUCUCUGCUCCCUCCCUCCUCUCGGCAGCCCUCUAAUGAAAUGGCCUUGAUACUCUGCCUGCUCUCGGCCUAUUCUCCACAGAGGGCGCUGCUGAGCUGGACCGUGGAUGGUGCUGAGGUAAAUGAAGGGGUUCUGACCAGCACAGAAGAACAGAAGAACGGCGUCUACAGCCGCAGCAGCACCCUGACCCUCAGCAAAGAACGCUGGGAAGAGGCUGAGGUGUUCGGCUGUACCGUCUCCCACCACGACACCACUCAGGUCGCCUCGUUCCGAAAGAGCCGAUGUGAAGUCCACUAGAAUUCAAGUGUACGCUUUAAACCAUGCUUAGCAGUCUGAGGUGAUGUCAGUGGUGUAGCUCUGCUGAAAUAAAGCUUCAAUGUGGAAAGCAGGUCUCCUUUUUCAUUAGUGAAGUGUCUUUGGCAGUGAUUUGGAACAGCACCUUUAACAGCAGGUCGAGUGCAGCGCUGUGUGUUGUGCUUGAGUG